rnacentral:rRNA from 1 species
UGCAAGUCGAGCGAAGGGAGUACUACGGUACGAACUUAGCGGCGGACGGGUGAGUAACGCGUAGACAAUCUACCCUGUAGACUGGGAUAACACCUCGAAAGGGGUGCUAAUACCGGAUAAUGUCGAGAGGCGGCAUCGCUUUCGAAGAAAGGAGGAAAUCCGCUAUAGGAGGAGUCCGCGUCCCAUUAGCUAGUUGGUGAGAGUAACGGCCCACCAGGGCGACGAUGGGUAGCCGGCCUGAGAGGGUGAACGGCCACACUGGAACUGAGCACGGUCCAGACUCC